AAUCGAGUUCGGACCUCGGAAAGGGGGGAAUGCCACCAAUUACCCUCGAAACUCUGCAGUAAACGGGCGGGAAGGGCAGACUCCCAGCUUCUAUCGAUGCCGACGCCUCGUGUCUGGAGUGAGGAGAAGGAAUGGUCAUGUGAAUGGUGCUCUCUAUUCGGCUCUCCAUGUAUGCUUCUUCCCUUGCCAGACAUAUUCUGCGACAACCAAUUCCCGCUCUUGUCUCUGGUACAAUCUCCCGUGAUGCGGCGGCCAUGUCCAGAUCAACGCUGUGGCUGCAGUCUCGGAAUCCAUUCUUGUUCUGUCUCAUUUGGUGAGAGUUUUGUCGCUUGGUCGCAGGAGAUAAUUCUCGAAUCUUUCUUGGGAUGGUUACGGUGACAAAAAUUCAGCGAUGACGGCUACAACUAGAUAGAAGUUUUUCUAUGAAAAGAUAUACGUUGGAACAUGGUUUUUGUGCCAUUAAUUCGAGAGGAGUUUGUUACACAGUGUUAAUUUGCUGCUGGAAAUUAGUCGAGGUGGUACUUGGUGGCAAAAGGAGCAAAGCAAUCGAAGAGCAGCAGACACGAAAGCCUUGGAGGUCAAGUGGCACAACGAGAGAAGUUCCCUAAACCUCAAAAUCCUCUGGGAAAAAUCUCAGACCGACCAUUGUCCAAUUGGCGAAGUGAUCUAUACCAUCCUCAGCAUUCAGGGAGUGAAAAUCUCAUCAUUUCAAAAUCUAGCAACAAUUCUAACCUACACUUAAAUUAUGCUUUCACACAUCUCGGAUUCUUCAAUUGAAAAUGAUCAUUUCAAAGCAGAGCUUCGAGUAGCGCACUGUACGCCGAGAUAGGGGUUGGUUUAAUUUUUUAUUCUGUUGUUGGAGAUAAUCCAGAAAUAGAUUUUAGAGGCGUAGGAAUAACGGCCUUGCUGGUGAACUCGUUCUUGAUUAGUAUCUAAUACUCAGUGGUCCUCGUUUCCGCAGUUAUUUCUUGCGUGGGUUUCGAGAUCGUUGGACGAGUUCUCAGACUGUAUACAGUUCUUGACGAACUUGUGCGUUGAGAAUAUGUUUAUGCAGUAACUACUGCAAGUACAUAUCAAUUGAAGGGCUUCAAAGACACAAUCCUUAGGACUUAGUGGCGCAAUGAGAGGCGAAUACUAAAUCACGUAAUCUCCCAGGUUUUAGGGUCCAAGAUCCGCAUUUAUUGAACCAUGAUUUAAUUUAGGCUACCAUUGUUUUCAAAUAACUCUAAUUUUAGAACAAAUUCAUGACACUCAGGUGGCUCUCGAAUUUCAGCAUCCCACCCUGAAAAAAAUUACGAUUUGCAGCUCGGUGGGUCGAUUGAAAUGGAUUCUACAACAUGUGGCAAUGCUCAAUCUCAACGGCGUCUCAAAAGAAGACUUAUGGGCCUCAGCCACAAAGACAGCUACGCGACGAGUGGCAAUUGUUCACGUCCUCACGCACCAUUCAACAGUACUUCCUUCUUAAUUGAGCUCCACGAUCGCCAGGAAGAAGCAGCAUUCACAACAAGUUUAAAUUUCGACCAGUAUGGCUCCAUGGUGAAGAUAAUGGCGAGCUCCAUGGCAUUCUCAGCUGCAUGUUGUCCUUCCAGUGCAGAGAACCAUCGGUAUCAACACUGUUCCAACCAUUCUCGGGCUCGUCAGCAUUCCACUCUAGCGAAUUCCAGAAAACAUUCCAACUUGCUAAUUCACCCACACACAUCUCGAAACUCGGAUGAUUUACGAAAACAUAGUUCUGUGAGUGAUGCCUUACCAUCAACAACAACAAGACUGUAGCAUCGAAUCUGGCGAGUCGUCGGCAGCACAUCGAGCAAGUGGCAUACGCGGACAACAAUUUCGAAGGUCCUUUUUGGACAACAAAUUUGAUACUCUGCACUAAAACGCAAGUCGUCCGAUCUUUAAGGAUUUCAAAGAAUUCUGUUUUUUUCUUUUUUCAAAAUUUUCUUGUUAUCUAUUCCAUGGGAGCCUACGAUGCUUCUAAACUCUACAAUCACUCAUUUCAUCAUCUCUCCCGGAAUGAAACAUGUACAUUGCACACAUACAAUGCUGGUUGCAGUUGCUUCUGUAUUUGUAGCAAUAUACGAUCCGGACAGAUCAUGAGACGUUGAAUCCGUACAGCUAUCGUGUCAUAUUUUAUAUGAAAUUUGAAGGUAGAGUAUUAUGGAUGUAAAUAAUGGAUUACCAAUCCAGCGAGGGGAGUAAAUGCCAUUUUAUAGUGUAUUUGAAGUGAUUUUAUCACGUACUUCGAGGAUUUUUUCUGGACACUAGCGUUUUGACAGUUAAAUGUGCACACUUAUAGAGCAAGAGAAACGGAGGACGUAGCAUCGAGGCAAAGGCAUCAUUCUAGAUAGCUCUGGUCCUCCUUAGUGUUAGUCAAGUUGGGUCGGGUUUGAAGAAUGUGAAAGUCAACCUCUUCAUUAUUCCGGGGAUGUCUGUGAGCACUGUUUGUGUUCAGUCUUGAAGGGCUGACAAAGGUUCUAAAGCCCCUGUUUCCAGUGUUCUUU